UACGAAGGGGGCUAGCGUUGCUCGGCAUCACUGGGCGUAAAGGGCGCGUAGGUGGCUUUGUACGCGGGUGGUGAAAGUCCGGGGCUCAACCCCGGAUCUGCCAUGCGGACUGCAAGGCUCGAGCACUGUAGAGGCCGGUGGAAUUCCGGGUGUAGCGGUGGAAUGCGUAGAGAUCCGGAGGAACACCAGUGGCGAAGGCGGCCGGCUGGGCAGUGGCUGACACUGAGGCGCGACAGCGUGGGGAGCAAACAGG
rnacentral:rRNA from 1 species